GGCUCGGUAGCUUAGUUGGUAAAGCGCUCGUCAAGCAUACAAGAGUCCUGGGUUCGAAUCCCAGCAGAGCAC
rnacentral:tRNA from 1 species